CGGAGUAGCCAUCUCUGCCCAUCUCUCGCAUCUCCACGGACUGCGGAGCAGAUGGCGAAGCCGGAUGAGCCCUGGGGCCUGACCUCCAGAUCCCUGGUGUCUGCAGAUGGAGGGAGCUGCAGGGCUGUGCGGAUCAGAGCCAUGAGGGUGGAGUUGAAGUGGACGGUGUUGUCAUCUGCGACGGGCAGGUCCAUCCGCAGAAGCCGCUACGGAAAACCCAAGGCAAUCGAAGUCAUUCCCAGGCAUCUCUCCUGGGUCUCCGGUGAGCCACGCCCACCCCUACCCAGGGAGUCUCAGGAAGAACUCUGAAGGCUGCAGUGGCUGAGGUGUCCCUUACUCAGGUUACCUGUCCCCGUACUCUGUUUCUCUUGGUGGCCCGUAGGGAGGGCACAAAAGGCUCUCCUGUAUUUCUGGUCCCCUGCCCUCUCCUUUUUCCCCCCACCUACUUGACCUGAGAGCUGGCAUUUCCAGGGUUAGCCUCAAUCCUUGCCCCUUCCCCGCCCCGCCCCAGAGUUCUUCUGGACGGCCCUGUUUCGGUCUGACCCCAAAGAAAAAGAGCACAAGCUGGAUUUGAGCAGCACAUGCAACAGCCAAGGCUGAGGGAGCCAGAACCACAGCCGCUGGUGGGGGGCGCCGCCAGCUCCCCACCCCCAACCCCUGGCUUGGCCCAGACCAGGACAGACCAGAUGGGCACAGACCACAUCAUUCCUCUGAGAAGCAGCAGGCAGGCAGCCCCCCACUGACGGGGCAGGCCCCUCACAGGCAUGCAGCAAGGCUGUGACACAGAACAGCACAGACAGGGGUGCGUGCAGACGGAAUCUCGAGACUCAUUCAUAGCUCCGUGGGAAGUGUAUCUCAGGGACAUGUCCGGAUCUUGGCUCUCUGUGCAGUGGCAGGGGGAAGGGGUGAGGGGCAUUCCCUUCCAGCCCAGGAAGAAAAGAUUCCCCAUGUCCCAGGCAGGGGCUCUGUCCACCAUGCUUGGUGGCAUGGGAGAGGAUGCUGGGCUGGUGUGCACCAGCCCAGGCUGAGGUGGCACAGAGAAGGGGGGUGAGGGUGACUCAGGUGGUGAUUCAGACACAUGUGGGCCGGAAACACAGGGCUGAAGAUGGGGAGGGGUAUGGUAAAUCCAGAGCAGGACAGUAGAGGGGACACUGGGGGCAGGGUGGGGAAGGAGGUGGGAAAUAGAGAAACACACACAGACUGGGCCACUGUGCACAGUUGUGCAGGUUGUACACUGCACAAAGGGCUCCCAUCUUGGAAAUGAUAGAUGUAUGUACUUAUUUAUUAAAAUAUUUUUUCUUUUUGUAGAGAUGGGGUCUUGCUAUGUUGCCCAGGCUAAUCGCGAACUGGGCUCAAGUGACCCUCCCAUUUCAGCCUCCCAAAGCACUAGGAUUACAGGCAUGAGCCACCACACCCAGCCCCUGAUUUGUGUAUUAAAUAUAACAGCUUCUCAGCUGAUAGAAUAAAAGUGUCUUGUUCUCACCACAUUGGUGAAUUGCAACAAUUUUCCAACAGACAUGUUCUGUGGAAAGGGUGCCUUUUUCAAAUUUGCACAAAGUUGUCUUAUGGACCCAUGGUGGCCUGCACAAAGACCGGGACAGGAAGGGCUUUCUGUCCCUCUCUUGCACAUGCGCACACAUUCAUCUAAGCAGAGACUGAGAGAAGCGACUUGAGGAAAACUGUGUGUAUGGGGGGUUGGGGGGGGCGGAGCGACAGGUGCCAGGACAGGCUCAUUGUCUGAGAUGCUGGUGGGACAACCUUGUCCCCGGCUUUGAUUGAAAAGUGAGGGGAGACAUAUAGGUUAGGUGAGGAGGGGUACACAGAAGGAGGAAAGGAAUGAGGUGGGGAGGCGGCAACAUGGGGCGGGUACAAAUAGCAUUGAUGGAUGGGGACACAGGGAAGAUCAAGGUGGAUGGGAGAAUAGGAUGAUGGGGUAAUAUUUUUUGGGCAGGGAGAAUCUUUAGGGGUCAUCCCUGAACUUCUUGUGGAUGAGUGAAGGGAACAGAGCAUCUGUCCUUGGGCGCCAAGGGAGAUUCCAGGACAGGGAUCUGGAGGGGUGGCCCGGCCCAGCCGCUUGGCGGCAGGACGCUUGCUCUCUCAGCCAGCAUGCACCACCCCCCGUCGGCCAUGGUGCCUGCCCGCCCCAGGCCCCGCCAAGGCAGCGUGCAUGGCCUGCAUCAGUGUGCCACCGUCCAGGGGUCCAGCUGCGGCCGCCUGCCCACUCUGGAACAAUGGAGAGGCAGGUUGGGGUGUCUUGGGGGGGAUUAGGGACGGGGGCUGGGGACAAAACUCCAGGGGAGGGAAGGGAGGGGAAGAGAGGUUCUUGGUGCUUCUUGGAAGGUCUCGUAUCCCCCAAGGCCCUAGGUCAGAGAUCAGCUUCAGGUAUGUGUGGCAGGGGCCGGGACCUGGGGGCUAGAGGCACAAAAGAUGGGACCAGGACUUCCCCUGCUUUUGGGGGCUAAAGCCCCUCUCUGCAAGGCGCCUGCCCCAGCCUGGGCAUGGGGGCCGCUCUGGGUGGGCAAAAGUGGGAGGCGUGGGUUUUGACUUCCCGAGGAAGCGUGUUUGUUUCCAAUUUGGUACCUGGGAGACCAGGUGCAAGGGGACCUGGGCGCUCCCCUCCCCCUCCCCCCAGCGUGUCGGCCAUAAUGGAGUCUCAAAACACGAAGACACUCAUCAGAAAGGACGGACACAGUGUGCUGCUUAGAAUCAAGGGAUGAUCAUGAUCAGUUUACUCGAGAAAAGAAAAAAAAAAGAAUCAAAAACAAAAAAGAAGAGAAACGUUGGAAAAAGAGAGUCGGCCGGGUGUUUCUGGUCAGCACUAAAAAAAAGAAGAAGGAGGAGGAAAAAAAAAAAACCCAGUGCCCGGACGUCGGUGGUCGGCAAGGGUAGUCUACCUUGUAAGCCACUCUGGCCGGACACUUCUUCCCCAGACCCAGGGGCGGAGACAUGUGUCUCAGCAUCUGAUACAUGUCCAGGUAAGGCAUGCGGCCCCUGGCAGCGCCGAAAACGGAAAAAAAAAAAAAAAAAAAAAAAAGGUGGGG